rnacentral:rRNA from 1 species
UACGGGGGGAGGAAGCGUUGUUCGGAUUUACUGGGCGUAAAGGGCGCGUAGGCGGUCAGCACAAGUCAGUUGUGAAAUCUCCGAGCUUAACUCGGAAAGGUCAACUGAUACUGUGCGACUAGAGUGCAGAAGGGGCAACUGGAAUUCUUGGUGUAGCGGUGAAAUGCGUAGAUAUCAAGAGGAACACCUGCGGCGAAGGCGGGUUGCUGGGCUGACACUGACGCUGAAGCGCGAAAGCCAGGGGAGCGAACGGG